rnacentral:rRNA from 1 species
UGGAUCUCAAAUCAGACAAGGCGACCCGCUG